rnacentral:rRNA from 1 species
AUGAGUGUCUUGAACUGGAACUGCCGGGGGCUUGGGAAUCCCGAGGCAGUUCGGGAGCUUCACAGCAUUGUGAAGCAAGAAGGCCCCAUUCUACUCUUUGUAAUGGAAACGAAAAUCAGAGCGAAACGAGUAGAGGAUUUAAAGCACUCUCUAGGUUUUGGAGGAUGCUAUGCUAUGGACAGUGCUGGCCUUAGUGGCGGUACUGGUCUAUUUUGGUCUCGUGAUGUUAUUGUGGAGUUGAAAAACUACAGUCAAAAACAUAUUGAUGUUGUUGUUCGGAACAAUGAUCAAAACAAUUCGGUAUGGCGCUUCACAGGUUUUUACGGAGCACCGCGAGCGGAAAAUCGUCACCACAGUUGGCGGUUUUUGCGCAACCUUUAG